UACGUAGGGUGCGAGCGUUAAUCGGAAUUACUGGGCGUAAAGCGCACGUAGGCGGGUCGUUAAGUCAGUGGUGAAAUCCCGGAGCUCAACUCCGGAACUGCCUUUGAUACUGGCGACCUUGAGAUCGAGAGAGGUGAGUGGAAUUCCGAGUGUAGAGGUGAAAUUCGUAGAUAUUCGGAAGAACACCAGUGGCGAAGGCGGCUCACUGGCUCGAUACUGACGCUGAGGUGCGAAAGCGUGGGGAGCAAACAGG
rnacentral:rRNA from 1 species